AACGCUGGCGGCGUGCGUAACACAUGCAAGUCGAACGAGAGUGUACUGACGGAUCCUUCGGGUGAAGAUAGUACAGGACAGUGGCGGAUGGGUGAGUAACGCGUAAGAAACCUGCCUUUCACACCGGGAUAGCAGCUGGAAACGGCUAUUAAUACCGGAUGACACUUUUUCCCCGCAUGAGGAAGAGGUUAAAGAAUUUCGGUGAAAGAUGGUCUUGCGUCUGAUUAGCUAGUUGGUGGGGUAACGGCCUACCAAGGCGACGAUCAGUAGCCGGCCUGAGAGGGUGUACGGCCACAUUGGGACUGAGACACGGCCCAAACUCCUACGGGAGGCAGCAGUGGGGAAUUUUGCACAACGGAGGAAACUCUGAUGCAGCGACGCCGCGUGAACGAAGAAGGUCUUCGGAUUGUAAAGUUCUGUCCUGGGUGAAGAUAAUGACGGUAACUCAGGAGGAGGCCCCGGCUAACUACGUGCCAGCAGCCGCGGUAA
rnacentral:rRNA from 2 species